GAUACAUGCAUAAUUGGAAACUUUCUUUUUCAUAAGAUCAAGUGCACCAACAUGGGUGACGAACAGUUCAAUUCUGAUGGAAGAUGGCUAUGUGUGGAGAAAGUAUGGACAAAAGAUAACAACGAAUGCAAAAUACCUCAGAAGCUACUAUAGAUGCACUCAUAAACAUGACAAGGGUUGUCCAGCAAUCAAACAGGUUCAGAGAAUUCAAGAACAUCCUCCAUUGUACCAGACAACAUAUUAUGGUCAUCACAAGUGC
rnacentral:sRNA from 1 species